rnacentral:rRNA from 1 species
AUUGAACGCUGGCGGCAGGCCUAACACAUGCAAGUCGAACGAGUGGCGGACGGGUGAGUAAUGUCUGGGAAACUGCCUGAUUGAGGGGGAUCACUACUGGAAACGGUAGCUAAUACCGCAUACCAUCAGAUGUGCCCAGAUGGGAUUAGCUAGUUGGUGAGGUAAAGGCUCACCAAGGCGACGAUCAGUAGCUGGUCUGAGAGGAUGAGCAGCAACAUUGGGACUGAGACACGGCCCAAACUCCUACGGGAGGCAGCAGUGGGGAAUCUUGCGCAAUGGGCGAAAGCCUGACGCAGCCAUGCCGCGUGAAUGAUGAAGGUCUUAGGAUUGUAAAAUUCUUUCACCGGGGACGCGGUACCCGGAGAAGAAGCCCCGGCUAACUUCGUGCCAGCAGCCGCGGUAAUUC